GAUGGUACUCUCUCAGUGUCCAGUAGUGUUCACCAUUUCGCUUGGGAAACAUCGGUUUCAGAAGAAUGAACCUGUUUUCCAUAUUCAGGCAGUGGUUCAUCAGACGAAAGCCUCCCCUACCGAUCACAACUCAUGGUUGUAUCAUGGUAUCACCAGAUCAAGCAACAAAAAUAUACAAGGCCAUGAAGGACAAGGGCCUUCCCGUUGAUUUGGUUGAGUGUGAAGGGGAA